AUUGAACGCUGGCGGCAGGCCUAACACAUGCAAGUCGAGCGAGCGGCGGACGGGUGAGUAAUGUCUGGGAAACCGCCUGAUGGAGGGGGAUAACUACUGGAAACGGUAGCUAAUACCGCAUACCAUCAGAUGUGCCCAGACGUGAUUAGCUAGUAGGUGGGGUAAUGGCUCACAAAGGCGACGAUGCCUAGCCGGUCUGAGAGGAUGACCAGCCACACUGGAACGGAGGCACGGUCCAGACUCCGACGGGGGGCAGCAGUAGGGAAUAUUCGGCAAUGGGCGCAAGCCUGACGGAGCCAUGCCGCGUGUAUGAAGAAGGCCUUCGGAUUGUAAAGUACUGUCAGGAAGGAGGCGUUGCUCACAGAGAAAGCCCCGGCUAACUCCGUGCCAGCAGCCGCGGUAAUUC
rnacentral:rRNA from 1 species